GCCAAAGUAGCUCAGCUGGGAGAGCAUUAGACUGAAGUUCUAAAGGGCCCUGGCUCAGUCCCAGGCUUCAGCA
rnacentral:tRNA from 2 species